rnacentral:tmRNA from 1 species
GGGGGCGACAUGGUUUCGACGGGGGUGUUGAAACACAGGCUGCGUGCCGAGGUUGACCGGUUGGCCUCGUUAAAAGCCGGUCACAACACAAUUGCCAACGAACCAUUGGCACUUGCCGCCUAACAAAGGCGACACGUCUUACCCGUGACGGUCCGCUAGCGGGAUAAGGCGCCGACAGCGGGCCUCGAACCGCGGGGGCGGCGCAGCCCCCGGAGAGAGUACGCCCUGCGCCUAGCGAAGCCGGAAAGCUGGUCUGACGCGGUCCGGCCGGGCGAAUCCUAAAAGAAAGACUACGCACGUAGACGCCUGCGCGGACGCACCUUCGGACGCGGGUUCGAUUCCCGCCGCCUCCACCA